rnacentral:rRNA from 1 species
UACGUAGGGUGCGAGCGUUGUUCGGAAUUACUGGGCGUAAAGGGCGCGUAGGCGGCCUUCUAAGUCGAACGUGAAAUCCCCGGGCUCAACCCGGGAACUGCGUCCGAUACUGGAAGGCUUGAAUCCGGGAGAGGGAUGUGGAAUUCCCGGUGUAGCGGUGAAAUGCGCAGAUAUCGGGAGGAACACCAAUUGCGAAGGCAGCUCGCUGGGACGUCACUGACGCUGAGACGCGAAAGCGUGGGGAGCAAACAGG